AUGUCUAGAUCGACCUUGUCGUUCUGUUCUUGGAAUGUAAGAGGAUUAGGCGACGAAGGAAAAUGCACUGAAGUUUUAUCUGAAUUAAUGUCUCUCAAACCAAACCUUCUUCUUCUUCAAGAAACCAAACGGGUAGCCCCUUCUCCGCUGAAAAUCAGAUCCUUCCUCCCCUGGUCCCUUGAUUUUGUUAGCUAUCUCCCAGCGCGUGGCACUGCUGGUGGGCUACCAACGACUGUCUCUACUACCUCCCUAUCGGUCAAGUCGCACGUCAAUCACUCGUUCUGUAACUCCAUUACACUUCAAUCUCUCGCUUGUCCAACCCCUUUCGUUGUUACCAACGUGUACGCGCCAACUACUCGAGCUCUCAAAAGCGACUUCCUCGACGAAUUAAAAAGUAUUGCCCCCCCCCCCCAGACCCCGUGGUUAGUCAUAGGCGACUUCAAUCUCCCUCAUGAGAAAAAUAAUCCCAAUUUCCAUCAUCUUGAGGCCAAUCUCUUCAACGACACCUUGGACCACCUUGCUCUACUAGAACUACCCCUCCUGGAUAGGAAGUUCACCUGGACGAAUAAUCAAGACUCACCUGUUCUAGAACGCCUCGACCGUGCUUUCUUCAACUUAGCCUGGAACAAUUCCUUCCCAAACUGCUCGCUCACCUCCCUGCCACGCCUCACUUCUGACAAUGUUCCACUUGUCGUCUCCAGCUCUACCUCCAUCCCAUGCUCCCGCCUUUUUUGGUUUGAACAUUCCUGGGCCUUGCAUCGGGCCUGCCGACGUAUCGUAGCUCAGGAUGCCGCCCAGCACAACCAAACCAGCCCAUCCCCCUCCUCCAACCUGGCCCAAACGCUUCAAACCUGCCGUUCGCGCCUAUAG
rnacentral:rRNA from 1 species